UUACGGUCAUUUCACGUUGAAACACCGGUUCACGUAUGAUCAACUAAGUUAAGCAACAUCGAGGCUGGUCAGUAUCUAGAUGGAUGACCUCAUGGGAAAUCAGUUGCUGUAAU